AUUGAACGCUGGCGGCAUGCCUUACACAUGCAAGUCGAACGGCAGCAUGAUCUAGCUUGCUAGAUUGAUGGCGAGUGGCGAACGGGUGAGUAAUACAUCGGAACGUGCCCUGUAGUGGGGGAUAACUAGUCGAAAGAUUAGCUAAUACCGCAUACGACCUGAGGGUGAAAGUGGGGGACCGCAAGGCCUCAUGCUAUAGGAGCGGCCGAUGUCUGAUUAGCUAGUUGGUGGGGUAAAGGCCCACCAAGGCGACGAUCAGUAGCUGGUCUGAGAGGACGAUCGGCCACACUGGGAAUGAGACACGGCCCAGACUCCUACGGGAGGCAGCAGUGGGGAAUUUUGGACAAUGGGGGCAACCCUGAUCCAGCAAUGCCGCGUGUGUGAAGAAGGCCUUCGGGUUGUAAAGCACUUUUGUCCGGAAAGAAAUCGCACUUACUAAUAUUAGGUGUGGAUGACGGUACCGGAAGAAUAAGGACCGGCUAACUACGCGCCAGCCGCCGCCGUAA
rnacentral:rRNA from 1 species